rnacentral:rRNA from 1 species
ACCCUUAUCCUUGUUUGCCAGCGAGUAAUGUCGGGAACUCCAGGGAGACUGCCGGUGAUAAACCGGAGGAAGGUGGGGACGACGUCAAGUCAUCAUGGCCCUUACGAGUAGGGCUACACACGUGCUACAAUGGCGCAUACAGAGGGCAGCCAACUUGCGAGAGUGAGCGAAUCCCAAAAAGUGCGUCGUAGUCCGGAUCGGAGUCUGCAACUCGACUCCGUGAAGUCGGAAUCGCUAGUAAUCGUGGAUCAGAAUGCCACGGUGAAUACGUUCCCGGGCCUUGUACACACCGCCCGUCACACCAUGGGAGUGGGCUGCAAAAGAAGUAGGUAGUUUAACCUUCGGGAGGACGCUUACCACUUUGUGGUUCAUGACUGGGGUGAAGUCGUAACAAGGUAGCGCUAGGGGAACCUGGCGCUGGAUCACCUCCUUAUACGAUGAU